rnacentral:rRNA from 1 species
UACGAAGGGGGCUAGCGUUGCUCGGAAUCACUGGGCGUAAAGGGUGCGUAGGCGGGUCUUUAAGUCAGGGGUGAAAUCCUGGAGCUCAACUCCAGAACUGCCUUUGAUACUGAGGAUCUCGAGUCCGGAAGAGGUUGGUGGAACUGCGAGUGUAGAGGUGAAAUUCGUAGAUAUUCGCAAGAACACCAGUGGCGAAGGCGGCCAACUGGUCCGGUACUGACGCUGAGGUGCGAAAGCGUGGGGAGCAAACAGG